CGAGUGCUUCUUCUCAGACGGUGAACGUGCUUCGCAGCAGGAGCAGGUUUACGCGUCGCUGGGCCGUCCACUCCUGGACGAUGUGCUAGCCGGUUACAAUGGCUGCUUGCUGGCCUACGGCCAGUCCGGCUCCGGCAAAACAUACACCAUGCUCGGUAACCCGGAAUGUCCAGGUUUGACACCGCGCCUAUGUCAGGAGCUCCUACAGAAGCUGUCUGCGGCUGGAUCCGAACGCAC